rnacentral:rRNA from 1 species
UUGAUCCUGGCACAGUUUGAUCCUGGAACAGCUGGCGGCGUGCCUAAUACAUGCAAGUCGAGCGAAUGGAUUAAGAGCUUGCUCUUAUGAAGUUAGCGGCGGACGGGUGAGUAACACGUGGGUAACCUGCCCAUAAGACUGGGAUAACUCCGGGAAACCGGGGCUAAUACCGGAUAACAUUUUGAACCGCAUGGUUCGAAAUUGAAAGGCGGCUUCGGCUGUCACUUAUGGAUGGACCCGCGUCGCAUUAGCUAGUUGGUGAGGUAACGGCUCACCAAGGCAACGAUGCGUAGCCGACCUGAGAGGGUGAUCGGCCACACUGGGACUGAGACACGGCCCAGACUCCUACGGGAGGCAGCAGUAGGGAAUCUUCCGCAAUGGACGAAAGUCUGACGGAGCAACGCCGCGUGAGUGAUGAAGGCUUUCGGGUCGUAAAACUCUGUUGUUAGGGAAGAACAAGUGCUAGUUGAAUAAGCUGGCACCU